UACGGAGGGUACAAGCGUUAUCCGGAUUCACUGGGUUUAAAGGGUGCGUAGGUGGGCAGGUAAGUCAGUGGUGAAAUCUCUGGGCUUAACCCGGAACUGCCGUUGAUACUAUCUGUCUUGAAUAUAGUGGAGGUGAGCGGAAUAUGUCAUGUAGCGGUGAAAUGCUUAGAUAUGACAUAGAACAUCGAUUGCGAAGGCAGCUCGCUACACUAUGAUUGACACUGAGGCACGAAAGCGUGGGGAUCAAACAGG
rnacentral:rRNA from 1 species